AGUGAACGCUGGCGGCAGGCCUAACACAUGCAAGUCGAGCGGCAGAACGGUACUUGCUUGUUGGUACGGGUGGCGAGGGGUGGACGGGUGCGAGAAAUAUGGGUAGUUGCGGUUGAGAGGGGGAGGAAGUAGGGGCAAAUACGGUAUAAGCGCUGACGGACUACGGGUGAGAGCAGCGGACCUUCGGAUCUCGGGCGAUCCAAUGACGCGAGGUCGGAUUAGUUAGUUGGGGGGGUACAGGCGUACCAAGGCGACGAUCCGUAGCUGGUCUGAGAGGAUGAUCAGUCACACUGGAACUGAGACACGGUCCAGACUCCUACGGGAGGCAGCAGUGGGGAAUAUUGGACAAUGGGCGAAAGCCUGAUCCAGCCAUGCCGCGUGUGUGAAGAAGGUCUUCGGAUUGUAAAGCACUUUAAGUUGGGAGGAAGGGCAGUAAGUUAAUACCUUGCUGUUUUGACGUUACCCACAGAAUAAGCACCGGCUAACUUCGUG
rnacentral:rRNA from 1 species